rnacentral:rRNA from 1 species
CACUGCCGAGAAAAGCCUCUAGAUAGAAAAUAGGUGCCCGUACCGCAAACCGACACAGGUAGUCAAGAUGAGAAUUCUAAGGUGAGCGAGCGAACUCUCGUUAAGGAACUCGGCAAAAUGACCCCGUAACUUCGGGAGAAGGGGUGCUCUUUAGGGUUAACGCCCAGAAGAGCCGCAGUGAAUAGGCCCAAGCGACUGUUUAUCAAAAACACAGGUCUCUGCUAAACCGUAAGGUGAUGUAUAGGGGCUGACGCCUGCCCGGUGCUGGAAGGUUAAGAGGAGUGGUUAGCUUCUGCGAAGCUACGAAUCGAAGCCCCAGUAAACGGCGGCCGUAACUAUAACGGUCCUAAGGUAGCGAAAUUCCUUGUCGGGUAAGUUCCGACCCGCACGAAAGGCGUAACGAUUUGGGCACUGUCUCAACGAGAGACUCGGUGAAAUCAUAGUACCUGUGAAGAUGCAGGUUACCCGCGACAGGACGGAAAGACCCCGUGGAGCUUUACUGUAGCCUGAUAUUGAAAUUCGGCACAGCUUGUACAGGAUAGGUAGGAGCCUUUGAAACGUGAGCGCUAGCUUACGUGGAGGCGCUGGUGGGAUACUACCCUAGCUGUGUUGGCUUUCUAACCCGCACCACUUAUCGUGGUGGGAGACAGUGUCAGGCGGGCAGUUUG